rnacentral:rRNA from 1 species
ACAACGGGGGUUCCCCCUAGGUAGCGGCGAGCGAAGCGGGAAGAGCUCAAAUUUAUAAUCUGGCACCUUCGGUGUCCGAGUUGUAAUCUCUAGAAAUGUUUUCCGCGUUGGACCGCACACAAGUCUGUUGGAAUACAGCGGCAUAGUGGUGAGACCCCCGUAUAUGGUGCGGACGCCCAGCGCUUUGUGAUACAUUUUCGAAGAGUCGAGUUGUUUGGGAAUGCAGCUCAAAUUGGGUGGUAAAUUCCAUCUAAAGCUAAAUAUUGGCGAGAGACCGAUAGCGAACAAGUACCGUGAGGGAAAGAUGAAAAGCACUUUGGAAAGAGAGUUAACAGUACGUGAAAUUGUUGGAAGGGAAACGCUUGAAGUCAGACUUGCUUGCCGAGCAAUCGGUUUGCAGGCCAGCAUCAGUUUUCCGGGAUGGAUAAUGGUAGAGAGAAGGUAGCAGUUUCGGCUGUGUUAUAGCUCUCUGCUGGAUACAUCUUGGGGGACUGAGGAACGCAGUGUGCCUUUGGCGGGGGUUUCGACCUCUUCACACUUAGGAUGCUGGUGGAAUGGCUUUAAACGACCCGUCUUGAAACACGGACCAAAU